UUAUUAGUUUGGUAGUCGUCAGUUCUCUGGAACUUAAUCACCUCUCAGCUCACGGUUACGUUUUACCUUUAAAUCAGCUCGUCAUGAUUGCAUCAGAACAUCAGUUACUCUUUCUUCUUCGUCUAUCUUCUACAAUCUCACGUUGAUUAAAUAUACAUCGGGUCUUUUCUUCGUUUAUGAUCUAAGAAGCCUAAGCAGCAAACAACAAAUUGAGGAUUGAGAAGGCUGAUGUGUAGUUGCGUGAGUCAGUAUGUCAAAGAGAACGUAGCUUUGGAAAUCUGAGCUUAGGUAUGGAAGGCAAGCCUGAGGUCAUCGGUAAGAUCUUCUUUUUCUCUCAUAACCAGUUCCUUGGUUGUCUCUGAUUUUGAAUUCAUCAAUCCAUCCACAGCCCAAAAACAGGUUUGAAUUCACAAACAGGUUUGAAUUCUUGACAUGAGACUUCUCUUAGUUUUACACCAAAGCAAAUAAGUAUGGAAUCUUACAAGAUACUUAUUUUUGUGGUUCCAGCUGCUUCUCCAUCCUGACUCUGAUGAUUACGCUUAGCUAUCCCAGGUAAGAAAAAGAAUAAGAAGAAGAAAAAAUAAAUGUUGGAGAUAAUAUGUUGCAAAAAGAAAUUUGGAAUCUUAGAUGUUUUUUUUCCUUCCUUCUCCAUAUUCAGACGGGAAAGCUUUUGACCUAUAUUACUUACUGAAAUGAACAAGCGCUUUGUUUAAAUGGUGACAUGGAAACAAUGACCAACUCUAAAAGUCAUGUAAACAAGUGGAAAUCUGGUGCUGUACCUACUAAAAUUGGCAGACGUACAAUUCAUCCGAUUUGUCACAGCCUUUGAGACACAACACAGAGAAACCCACGACCUCUUCAAUAUGAUGGUCCCUGAUGCUGCAGAUUACAUGGGACGUAUGAUGGUCCCUGAUGCUGCAGAUUACAUGAGACGUAUCAAUAGUCUUCUCCUUCUAGAGCUCUUAAUCUCUCUGAAGUUGAUCUUUUAAUUGAUCUUUGUGUUGUUUAUAGUUUUUUAAUAGAGAAAAGAAUUAUCAUGGUAAGAUACUACAAGGCUGUGGGAGAUUAGCAAGUAAGCCAGAGGAAGAAUCAAAUUAAGAGAAGAAAAAGAAUGCUCUGAUUUUUGUAUACACCAUACAAGAUGCUACUACUCUUAGACUUGGUGGUGAAGAGUGAAUGGAAUGGAAUGGAAUGGACAAGAAAAAAAAGAACAAUGAUAACAACA